AAAAACAUGUCUUUUUGUUUAUGAUUUAAGGUCUGACCUGCCCAAUGAUUUUAUUAAAUGGCUGCAGUAUUUUGACUGUACAAAGGUAGCAUAAUCAUUAGUUUCUUAAUUAGGAGCUGGAAUGAAUGGUCCGAUGAAAAAUUUACUGUCUCAAUUUAAUUGUUUUAGAAUUUUAUUUUUAAGUGAAAAAGCUUAAAUUUUUUAAGAAGACGAGAAGACCCUAUAGAGUUUUACGUAUUAAGAAGUUAUUUUAUUUUGGUUUUAUAAUUUUUAAUUUUUUACUAUGUUUUGUUGGGGUGAUGCGAAAAUUUUUUUAACUUUUCUUAAUUUUUACACUGAUUAGUGAAUUGAUGAUCCUUUUUUGGAUUAUAAGAUUAAAUUACCUUAGGGAUAACAGCGUAAUUUUUUUUGAAAGUCCUUAUUGAUAAAAAAGUUUGCGACCUCGAUGUUGGAUUAAAGUUUAAUUUUGGUGUAGAAGCUAGAAAAUUAGGUCUGUUCGACC
rnacentral:rRNA from 1 species